rnacentral:rRNA from 1 species
GUCCACGCUGUAAACGAUGAAUGCUAGAUAUGGUGGGUCUUGACCCCUGCCGUGUCGAAGUUAACACGAUAAGCAUUCCGCCUGGGGAGUACGGUCGCAAGAUUAAAACUCAAAGGAAUUGACGGGGGCCCGCACAAGCGGUGGAUCAUGUGGUUUAAUUCGAAGCAACGCGAAGAACCUUACCUGGAUUUGACAUCCCUUUGAAUGUAACUAGAGAUAGAUAUAGACUCGCAAGAGACAAAGGUGACAGGUGCUGCAUGGCUGUCGU